UACCGAGGGUGCGAGCGUUGUCCGGAAUCACUGGGCGUAAAGGGCGCGUAGGUGGUGGCUUAAGCGUGCGGUGAAAGCUCGGGGCUCAACCCCGAGUCGGCCGUGCGAACUGGGCUCACUGGAGCAUAGUAGAGGCAGGUGGAAUUCCGGGUGUAGCGGUGGAAUGCGUAGAGAUCCGGAAGAACACCGGUGGCGAAGGCGGCCUGCUGGGCUAUGGCUGACGCUGAGGCGCGACAGCGUGGGGAGCAAACAGG
rnacentral:rRNA from 1 species